AUGGCCCCUGACAAAGGAUGACAUACUAAUUUGUGAAGCAUUGCAUAUUUUU
rnacentral:snRNA from 1 species